UUUGUUUGAGACAAGGGUUUUCUCGGAGCGCCGCCUCGGUGCAUUGUUUCUCUCUUCAUCACUUUGAUGCCAAAAAUGGCAACAUGCAGUGUACUAUUGCAUUAUUGCAGUAGAUGUUUGAUUGUUUGAGCAAGCAAUUGAUGUUUGCUUCCCUCUCUCCACCGUAUCUCAACCAAACGCAGUAUAUCUCUUCCCUUUUCUGAGUUUUUACGGUCAAAGGAGUAAUGGGAUUUGUCUCAAUUCAUUUGAACCCUUGAUUCUCAUUGGUUCAUCCAAAACUAGUCGAAUCGAUCAAAGAUCACUCGAAUCUAACCCUUUAUAUGGCUUUUGCUUUUAAUCUUAGCCGUUAACGUUGAACUAAAGUGAACAAUUCCCAAAUUUUGUUAAAUUCCCACAUCGAUGGUUUAGGGUUUAACAUCGAAUUGGAUAGAACCCCAUUUCUCACAUUCAAGACACACAACAUCUGAGAUUCGCAAGCAAAAACCUAAAACUUAGAAUUUUAGCAAAGGGAUCAUGCUAGAAUUGGAACCCUAAGCGGAUCAUACUAGAAUUGGAACCCUAAGCUUGUUUUCUUGGAGUUUUAGGACCAGUUUUUAAUAUUUUCUUUUCUUUGUGGCUAGUCUGAGGUUUAAGGAGCAAGAUCUCUAACUUUCAAUCUCGACAAAGAGGCUGCACUUGGAAAAGAAGCUUUGGAGGAUACUUCAAGGUAAUGUAAUCUUGGAAUUGAAGUUUUCUUGAGCUCUUGAGGAUUGGGGCUUUAGUUGUGAUAAGCUCGUUGUUGGAUUUUGGACGACUUGAGAUCUUGGGGAGCCCGAGACUUGAGUUGAGAUUAGCUUAGGAGGCGAGUGAGGUACAGACGUUCACUUGAGUGACCCGACAGCUUAGGUCAUCUUUCUGCUGCUUUGGAGUGCUCCCUUGUUCUGGAGCUCACAUUUGGUUCGGGUAGACAGGUUGACGAUCCGCCCCUGCAAGCUGCUCUUCAGCUGACAUUAGAGCACUCCUCUUGUUCUGGAGUUGCUGUUGUGUUUUUGGUGUAACGAUCCGUUUAGUUGUUAUAGUGCUUUUGACCCCGUUUCCCCCGUUGAGCCUUCUUCAAAAACCGUUAGUAUGAUUUUGAUCCACCGGGAUGGGCGGCAUGGUUCCCGAGGUCAUGGGCGAGUUCUAGUAGGAUUUAUGGAAUCUAGAGUCUUAAAGUGAAAAAUCUUUGACUAAUAGUUGACUUUUGAAUAAAUGUGCCCAUAAUCAAAUCCCAACAGUUCCAUUAGGUCUAGAACGUGAUUUAUGACUUAGUGAAGUCAUAGGUUUUGUUCCCAAAAGUUUUGGGUGUGAUUUGAGUCAUUGGUGGAGAAACUAGUAGGGAGAGUUGACCACGGUCAACAACGGGUCAAGAUGACUCCGUGUUGUUGUUUUGAAAGUUCCAACAAGUUCGUAUGAUGAAUUCAGACUUGUCCACAAGUUUUGGUGAGAUUCCGAAGAGUUUCGGAUGGAUUUGGGUUGUAUUGCACUCGUAUUCGAUGUUUUCGGCGUAGCUCUUUGGCCAUAAAGAGUACCAUAUUGAUUAAUCGACCUUUAUUUUGUGUUUCGGUUAAACCAUUAGAUCCGUAUCGUAAUUACGAUGCCAUAGCAAAAAGAAUCAUCGCAUUUCACCUUCAUAUGAGGGAAUUAUGGUCAUUUUAGCGUGGAUAACUGUUGUUGUACCUAAUGUGUGAGCUGUAGCGGACAUAGCUGUGUAUAAAAAAACAGACUGCGUUCAUUUUGAAUUUUGAGCAUAUCUUAAGUUCUAGCGCUCUGUUUGAGGUGAUUUUUGCGGUGUUGUUCUCGUCUCAACGAGGGGGUAAGUAUCUACCCAUUAUUUUGAUGUUUCCUCAAGUUUAUUUUCGCUGGUACCUAUUUCAUCCGAGUUUGAUAGGGGAAAAUUGGGGUUUUGAACCCAAAAGUUGAAAAGUGCAAAAUCAUGAUUUUGAAGAUCAAGAUUAUAGCUUUUUGUUCUGAGUCUCUUUGAAGAGGAAAGGCAAGGCUCAAGUUUGAUUGUUUGUAGCUCCUGUUCGGCUACCAGGUAGGUUACGACUUACCUUUUGGUUAGACUUCGAUUAGCGAAUCGUUUGUAGAGUUAGUGAUUGUUGGAGAAUUCAUGUACGCCUUCGGGUAUGAAGUUGGGAUAGAUUCCUAGGUUGGUACUAUUGUUUGAUUUUAGUAUGUUACCUUGUUGUGAUUUAUUGGCUUGUUGCCACGUGUGUGAGAUCUUAUAUGCAUAUCUUGAACUUGGAGUGAUCUUGCUGCAUUUAAAAGCUUAUUCUCAAGUGGUUUUAACCUUUCCCUAUGCCCCGAAUACUUGUUCAUAUGUGUGGUUUGCCUUUGUCCAUGAUAAGUGUGAAAUAAGUCUUUCCAAAUACUGUAAACCCCUUUUGUUUUUCCUAUAAAACCCUCUUUUAUUUGUGUUGGGAUGGUAGAAUUCCAUAGUUUGUUUGCUAUAUGAUUGUGAAUCUUGUGUUCAGUUAAGGAUCUAGGUAUGCUAUUCAUUUGGAGAUGGUUCCUUUGUUUAACUGUAACUAGUAUGUUUAAACUGGAUAAAAAUGUGAGGCCUUUGGGAUGUCUUUUUUCUUAGAGUAGAGAUUCAGUGACUUGAUGUAUAUUUGAAAACAUCCUAUGUGUCCACUUAUGAAGUUUGCCUGUCUAAAUGAUUUAGAGGGUUAACUAGCGCACAAUGGGUUUAUCAUCGUAUCAACCCUUCCCCUCUCCCCUCUUUAGCAGUGCUGAAUAUGAAUCAUUUUCCUUUAAGAUUUGAAACCAUGUUGGCUGUAUGAUUGCCUUAUUGCUAAUAUGCUCAUUUGGUCUUAAAUUGAUGUGAUUUUAAGGGCACAGUAUCCUUAUAUAGACUCUUAUGUGCCUACUUACUUCAAGAUGAGAUAAGGAUCCUCUUAGUAUUAUUGCCCCGUGUUUAGUCUAACUUGAAAUCAAAACCUUCAUACUUGUAUUAUUGAGCAUUUGACAUGAGCAUGAUAGCUUUAGUAAAAGCCAAAGAUGCAACAAAUUAAAUAUAUGUUUAGUCUACAUUUUUCCCAUGUUCCUUUUGUCAUUUUUGGGCUUAUAUUGCAUGAAUAUUCUUAUAUAUGUGUGAGAUAUACAAGAUAUACCCAUAUUGUAUACACCUAUGUAUAUAUAGGAUGGUAUAUCCGGUAUAUCAUCGGUAGUUAUACAUUGAAUACACUUUAGUAUUGCCAUGAAAGUUUGCCUUUAGGCUUGUUCUUUAAUUUGCUAUGCGUGUUCUCAAAUUGGGCCUGUUCAUCCUUUGUGUUGUUUCUUAUUUGGGCCUAAGUCCUCUGAUGUGUUUGGGCCUCUUCCCCUUGUUUGUUUAUUUUAAGACCUAGUAAACAUACUUUCUUGCAGAUAUAUGUAUCCAUAGCUCUGUGUUUAGGUUGACUUUUGGACCCGAAUUCUUUAUAUGGAUUUAUGGGUAUCGUUAGAAUCGUAUUCUUAUGAAGAUAUCAUAAUUGAAAAAUUGGCUUCGUUCGGAAGCUCAAAAGAAGGAGAAGGCCGCGACGUGACUCUUCGGCUUCAGAUUCAUGCAAGUUGAGACUUCCAAGACCCUUUAUGUAGUGUAUGUGUUAGUUAAUGUAAUAAAGGGGCGUAAUGGGGCAUAGGGAGUCCCUUACUCUUGAGGUGAUGAGCACUUGUAUGGGUACGGGUGUAUCUGUAUGGAUAAUUAAAAUAUGAACUAAUUUGACUUGUGAUAAAGACUCUGUGUUUAGCCUUCGGGCCACGAAGAAUGGUGGAUAAAUCCAUUUAGGUUGGUAUGAUUGCUGUUUAUUGGGCUAUGAUAGCCAUUGUUGGAUGUAUAAUUGUGAAUAAUGACUUGAUUUGUAGUCAUCACUCUACAUCUCGUCUAAACUAUGAAAAUGAAAUAAAUAUACUUGACACGACUUGUUAUUAUGCAUUUGCAUGGCGUACGCAUAUCCAUUCAUAAUUUCAUCACAUUAUUGGCAUUUCAUUAAUGAGAAUACAGGACAGGGGUCUGGGAGGUUGGAUUGGAUGGUACAUGGAUGGAGUAAUGAUGAUAAUAUUAUAAUGGUUGAGACUCGAUGUAAUCCGGGAGAUCUGGUAUUUUGGGUGGGUAGAUGGACCUCAUGAGUCCCCCAUGG